UACGUAGGGGGCUAGCGUUGUCCGGAAUCAUUGGGCGUAAAGCGCGUGUAGGCGGUUCGGUAAGUCCGCUGUGAAAGUCGGGGGCUCAACCCUCGAAAGCCGGUGGAUACUGUCGGGCUAGAGUACGGAAGAGGCGAGUGGAAUUCCUGGUGUAGCGGUGAAAUGCGCAGAUAUCAGGGGGAACACCAAUUGCGAAGGCAGCUCGCUGGGACGUAACUGACGCUGAGACGCGAAAGCGUGGGGAGCAAACAGG
rnacentral:rRNA from 1 species